rnacentral:rRNA from 1 species
CCUACGGGUGGCAGCAGUGAGGAAUAUUGGUCAAUGGGCGGGAGCCUGAACCAGCCAAGUAGCGUGCAGGAUGACUGCCCUGCGGGUUGUAAACUUCUUUUAUAAAGGAAUAAAGUGAGGCACGUGUGCCUUUAUGUAUGUACUUUAUGAAUAAGGAUCGGCUAACUCCGUGCCAGCAGCCGCGGUAAUACGGAGGAUGCGAGCGUUAUACGGAUUUAUUGGGUUUAAAGGGAGCGUAGAUGGGUUGUUAAGUCAGUUGUGAAAGUUUGGGGCUCAACCGUAAAAGUGCAAUUGAUACAGGCAGGCUUGAGUACAGUGGAGGUAGGCGGAAUGCGCGGUGUAGCGGUGAAAUGCUUAGAUAUCACGAAGAACUCCGAUGGCGAAGGCAGCUUACGAAACUGCCACUGACAUUGAUGCUCGAAAGUGUGGGUAUCAAACAGGAUUAGAUACCCGAGUAGUC